UGCAGAUGCCGAAGAUAGAUGUUGCACGACUUAAUUCACUCAGGCCCAAACCCAAACCUUCAGAAUACCCACCAGAGCCCGUCAGGACACCUUCAGAUGAUGGAGAAGAUCCUAUGGAAGAGGAUAUGGUUCCUACUGGAAGAACCCUAAGGAGAAGAAAGGAAAAAGUGGUGAAACAUCUGAAGAGGGGGGCCAAUGAUAAGGAAAAGGAAAUUUUCCGGAAGAGAGUCUUCAGGAUUCCUAUAGAUAACCAUUCGAGGAUGCUUAUUAUACCCACAGAUUGUGGAUGUUCUUCAGAGAAACCAGAGAGAAAGAAGAUGACAUCAGGAGAAUGUUCUGUGAAGUUAGAGAAAAGAUGAGGAUGAGGAUUACAUUCAAGAAGAAGAGUGAUCCUGGGAAAUUUGCAAUAUCAUGCACGGUGAAGGCACUACACGAAAAAUGGGAUUUGAUAGCAGUGAAAGAUAACGUUUUAUGCAUUUCUGCCAUGGUUGACAUACCCGUUAGUUUUAGAUAGCGUUUGUAUAUUUAGAAACACUAUGAUAGAACUGUAUAUUUAAAAAUGCUAUGAUAGCGUAUUUUUAAUAGCGCAUUAUUAAAAACGUUAUCUUUGACUUUUUAAAUCUCUAAACCCUUAACAAGUUUUAAACCCUAAACUUUAAACAUAACUUCAAAAUCUAACUAUUUUAAUAUCAAAUCUUAAAUUUAACCUCAAAUAUUAAAUACAAACUCAAAAACUAUUUCUUUUUCAAUAAUUAAUCUUAAAUCCCAAUACCCUAAACGUUUUACCCCCAAACCCUAUACUCAAACCUUUAUUCUAAACUCAUAACUUUAAAUCUAAAAUCUAAAUCCAAAAAAAAAUCAAACUUAAACUUAAUUCUUCAAAUAAAUUCAAAUUUAUUUUCGAAUUUUAACUUAAAAUCUUAACUUUGAACUCUAAACCUUAUAUACUCAAAUCUUAUAUAUCAUAAUAAACCUCAAACCUUCAAUUUAUACUUUUAGUUAUUAAACUAAAUCAUAAAUCACAAAUCUAAUAUUCUCAAAGUUAAACACCAAACUUUGAGCACACAUUUUUAAAAUUUUAAUAUGUUUAAAUUUUAAACCUUUAAACUAAUUUUAUUUACUAUACUCUUGUAUUUUAAACCUUUAAACUAAUUUAAUUUUACAUUUAAAGUAAAUCAUAACUUAUAAAUAAUUUUAAAAUUUCAGUCUAUUAUUUGAAACAUUGAACCAAACUAUAAUUACAUUAAUUAUAUAUUUUUUGUUCGAAAUUAUAUAUAAAUAUUUAACUUCAUUAUUAUAUUAAAUGAAAAGAGUUUCUAAUGGAUUAAUUUUGGCCUUUGAUUGAUUUCAAUCCAAUGGCCACAAAUAUGUUUGGUUUAUCUUUUUCCUUCUUUCUCAUUGGUCAAUAUCUUAAACACAAGGAUAGCAAUCUUGACCACUGAGUAUUUUUGAUCCUAUGGCUAGAAAUCACACAUCUCAUAUUUCAAUCUCUUUCUUCCUUCCUUGUCUCACGUUAUCUCUCUCUUUCUUUUUUGUUACAUAUCUAAAUCUGAUCUGAUCUAAAUCUUUUUUAAUUCUUUGGAUCUCUAUCUUCCUCAAUCACCACCACCACACGACGACCACCACACGACCACCCGUUUGUUUUCCACCACACGACCGUUCGUUCGCCAUCCCAGCAUCACCACCACCACACAACCACGGGAUGGAGGAAGCAAGGCAAGGCAGGUAUGACGGCUGGAGGAGGAAGAUGACGGCUUCAGAUUCAGGAAGAGGAAGCUGACGGCGAGUUGGUUAGGAGGCGACGAGAUUAGGUCUAGAUGGAUGUGACGUUUGCCUCCUCUCUGCAAUUUGCCUCUCAAAUCCCAUGAUGAAGAAGAAGAAUCAUGGCUGAUGAAGGUCAUGGAAAAACACGAAGACGAAGGUGGUGGUGCGGCCGGUAGAUGAAGAAGACAACGAAGUGGUGGUGUGUUUAGUUAGUAAUUAGGUUAAAGCCUGGUUUAGUUUUUGGUUUAUUUAGUUUGUUGGUUUAUUAUUUAAUUAGAUUUUUUUUUGUAUUUUUGUAAACCAAUUUAAUUAUAGAUAAAUUUAAGAAAUAAAGAAAAUUUGAUUCUA